rnacentral:lncRNA from 1 species
UGCCAAGUGAGUCCUCCGUGGCUGCAGACAGCACAAUCCUUCACCCACACCGUGAACUCCCCAGAGCCUCAGGCGUCCGUGCCUUCCUUCUUUAAGACGCAGCCAGUCAGGAUCUCCUCCCCUGCUUCUGGGGGGAGGGGCCGUGGAGGCUAGCCCUAGCCAGCCUUCUGAGUGACAAGCCAGCAGCCAUAUUAGAGUGUGGGGACCGGCUGUGGAAGGCUGUUUGAUCAGAGUGGAAUUAUAGCAGUUCAUUUUCUAAAGUGCCGGGAGACCCGGGGAUGAACCUGCAGGGAGAAGGGAAAACCACAAGUGCAGCACCUCACAGAGAUGCAAUUCAUCACCGGCAUGACAGCUUUUCCUGCCUAAAAUGUACACUUGGGGAUUCUAGGAAAUUUCGGACAAGCACACUGCCUUGACUGCCAAGUUUUCCAGAGAGAGAAGUUGGACACUUCAGCGUGCCCCCUGCCGUCCCAAGGUCUGCACCAGCCUCCUCUCUCCAGGGCCUUCUCUUCCCUGCACACGCAGAGCUGCAGGAAGAUUCCUGAGGAAGGGAGGCGCUUCUCUACUCCGCCCAGUUCCACAUCUGUGGCCUCUUGAACUCGUCCCCAGGCUCUCUCCUGCUUCUCACUAGUGCUCCCAUGGUGCCACCUUGGUCCCCGAAUCUUCCUUGCACCGUCACACCAGCUGCAGCUCCUGUCAUGUACACACACUGCCACAGUACUCACCACCCUUUGUUGUAACUGCCUGAGUAUCUAUCUGUCUGCUGAGGCAUGUGUGGAAAAUGUCACAGAUUCACAGGGCAGGUAGGAACCCCACAAACUCUCUUAGCCCAGCCUGCUCAUUUCCUGGUAGAUUCAGUCAUUUUCUUUGAAGAACUUACAAUGCAAGUUGCACAUCUGCAACUUCCUACCAUCACACACUGUAUGUCUCAUAAUCCUCCAACCUCCAAAAUCUCUUAAUAUUCAGCCUUAAGUCAUAUCAUUUCAAAAGAACACCAUUAUUCGGGAAUAAAGGUAUUUUGUAGUGUUGAAGAUCACAAUUCAGCUCUAUUCUUCCUACCCUCAGGCCUUCUGUUAUUCAGACAAAAUGAUCUUAAUUCCUUGGAACUCUUCUUUGGAGAUAUAAAAAUUGGAGACAUCUUGAUAGAUUUUUUUUUUUAAUUGGAGAUUUUUGCCUAAGAAUAUUCUGCCCUCAAAAAUUUUUUUUGGCAUUUUCCCACGAGAUUCAUCUAGAGAAUAUAAUUGUUUAAUAAAUGUGAGCAAUGGAGAUAAUCCUCAGGCUCAACUCCUUGGUGUGGAUAGAGGAACGAGGAGCGAGAGCAGGGUUCUUUCCUCUUGGUGACACAGAAGAAAAGUCGGUGAGAGAAAGGAAUUUGAUUGACACAUUUCUGGGAAUGAUCUGCCAUCCUCUGUGCUGACUUUUUGGGUCCCACUUAUUCCAGCUUUCAAUGAUCAAGGUAACAGCUCAACUGUGUACUGGAUCAUGGCAACGAGGAAAUGGGUCUAACCUGGCUAGUAAUCAGCCCAGCUGAGUCGACACGCAUGGAAUGGCAUUCAGUUCUCCUCCUUACAAAGUUGUGUGUCUAGUGAGCGAGGGUUACAACUGAAAGCAGCCAUGUUAUAUCACUCACUAGAUUCAGCAAAAAGCAGCAUGAUGACUGAAAAGGUCACAAACCUGAGUCUUGGCCCUGGUUGAGUCCCUCCCACUACAAAUGACCAGCAGGAGGACUCUCUAAGGAAGAACCUUGUAACAGAUUUCUGUACAACAGCAUCGAGAUGCUAUAAGGAGAAGUUAGAUAUCGAUGGAAGUAACCUGAUCCCCAUCCCUGGAAGAAACCUCCUUGAAUGCUGCUUGUCACAGAACCUGGUAAAUAUUUUCAGGCUGCAGCAUUUGCGGUUGGGAAAGUCAAGAAGCAAAGAUUCCUCGUUCUGGCCCAUUGAAAAAUAAGUAAAGUAUGAAAUAGAUGGGUGGCCUCAUCACAUAUACGUUCUAUAACCAAGAUUUUGGAGUUGAAAACAGUGGAGACAACAUCAUAAAAGUUACUUCAGUGAAAUGUAAAUGUGCUUCCUUGGUUCAUACAGACGCAUGCAUGCACACAGACACACGCAGGGCUGGAAUGAGUCAAAGGCUUUGUUGUCAAAAUCAAGAGAGUGUGUGGUGCUCAGUGGAGCCAAGCAAAUCCAGAUCAGAGCCGACGCUGUCCUGAGGGCCACCCUGGAAACUGAGAAGCAGAAGACAAGCUCCAGAGCCUGCUGUUUGGAUUUACUGAGCUAUUUGCCCGGAGGAAGACUUACAUUCUUGAGGCAUGUGCUUUCUUGCAUCUUUCCUCACUCAAGCAGUCUCUUCUGCCUAGAGGGAGGAUAAGACUUCACAGGAGGAGACUGACAAUUCCAAGGGUUCGGCGCGCAGAUUCCUUCCAUGAGGUGUAAAUACACAUGGGCUGUACAGAGUAAGAAUCCCCCAGCUAACAGCAGGAUUUUUUUUUUUCUGACCUUUUGUCUUCAUUCAGGCAGGUAUUUAGAACUUCAGUCAUUACAGAUGGCAAAUAUUUGUCUAGACUUUUCUUUCUUUGUAUGAAAAUAGUUUCUUUUGUUAGUUAUUCCAGGAUUUUACAUAGUAUUUUCCCCACUGGAGAAAAAUCAAUGACACAUAUGCAAAUGAAACCCUCAUAUUCUCUCUGUCUCUCUGUCUCUCUCUCUCUCUCUCUCUCUCACACACACACACAUACACAACAGCACUGGCUUCUAGUUCAUUUGGCCAGCCAGGGAAGCUGGAGUGUGCUUUCUUUGGAUGUCCCCAACUGAGCUGGAAGGGAGUGGAUUGUCUACCAGGCAAUACUUUAUUCAAAUUGAUUCAGCCGUUAAUUGCUCUGUGGUUUCUGACUAAUUUCUUCCUUUCCUUUGGUGCAGUGCAUCCUCUCAAGGAAAGAGAGGUUUGAGGGUUACUUAGCAGCUUCACAAAUUCCAUUUGCUUAAAAAUGUGGAGACACCACCUAGAUUCCAAAAAAUGAAAGAGAGUUACAAAUUCUAUCGCUCCAGGGAAGUGCAGCCAUCCAGGUUCGCACAUUCCAUCCAAGAACUUCGGGCUGAGCCAGUUCUCCAGUCAGAUAAAGGAACAAAGCCUCUCGUUUGGGCACCCAGAUACCUGAUUUAAAGGACUCAGGGGAGAGUAUAUCAGAGCGGGAACAGAGGAAGUCUACAGACAUAUUGGAGACUGACUCCCUGAUUCCGAGCUCUGCUUUUGAAUGUGUUGGGGUCCCUUAUAAAAGUAUAGGUUCUGGGUAAAUUCUGAACCAAACCUAAGAUAGCUGUGGUUGACUGCAGCUAUAUUCACUAGUUAAUCUCCAGCG